CGGGGGGGGCAAGCGUUGUUCGGAAUUACUGGGCGUAAAGGGCUAGUAGGCGGCCAACUAAGUCGGACGUGAAAUCCCCAGGCUCAACCUGGGAACUGCGUCCGAUACUGGAUGGCUUAAAUCCGGGAGAGGGAUGCGGAAUUCCAGGUGUAGCGGUGAAAUGCGUAGAUAUCUGGAGGAACACCGGUGGCGAAGGCGGCACCCUGGACCGGCAUUGACGCUGAUAUAGCGAAAGCCAGGGGAGCAAACGGGAUUAGAUACCCCGGUAGUCCUGGCCCUAAACGAUGAAUGCUUGGUGUAACGGGUAUCGAUCCCUGUUGUGCCGAAGCUAACGCAUUAAGCAUUCCGCCUGGGGGGUACGUCGCAAGGCUG
rnacentral:rRNA from 1 species